GUGGGUAUAGCUCAGUGGUAGAGUGUGGUGCUUAGCAUUCACAAGGUUCUGCGUUCAAUUCCCAGUACCUCCA
rnacentral:tRNA from 1 species